CAGUAGCCGCGGUAAUACGAAGGGUGCAAGCGUUAAUCGGAAUUACUGGGCGUAAAGCGUGCGUAGGCGGUUUGUUAAGUCUGUUGUGAAAUCCCCGGGCUUAACCUGGGAACUGCAUUUGUGACUGGCAAGCUAGAGUAUGGCAGAGGGGGGUGGAAUUCCGCGUGUAGCAGUGAAAUGCGUAGAUAUGCGGAGGAACACCGAUGGCGAAGGCAGCCCCCUGGGCCAAUACUGACGCUCAUGCACGAAAGCGUGGGGAGCAAACAGGAUUAGAUACCCCUGUAGUCCCUGUCUCUUAUAC
rnacentral:rRNA from 1 species